rnacentral:rRNA from 1 species
CCUACGGGAGGCAGCAGUGAGGAAUAUUGGUCAAUGGACGAGAGUCUGAACCAGCCAAGUAGCGUGAAGGAUGACUGCCCUAUGGGUUGUAAACUUCUUUUAUAUGGGAAUAAAAUGUUCCACGUGUGGGUUUUUGUAUGUACCAUAUGAAUAAGGAUCGGCUAACUCCGUGCCAGCAGCAGCGGUAAUACGGAGGAUACGAGCGUUAUCCGGAUUUAUUGGGUUUAAAGGGAGCGUAGGUGGAUUGUUAAGUCAGUUGUGAAAGUUUGCGGCUCAACCGUACAACUGCAGUUGAAACUGGCAGUCUUGAGUACAGUAGAGGUGGGCGGAAUUCGUGGUGUAGCGGUGAAAUGCUUAGAUAUCACGAAGAACUCCGAUUGCGAAGGCAGCUCACUGGACUGCAACUGACACUGAGGCGCGAAAGUGUGGGUAUCAAACAGGAUUAGAUACCCCGGUAGUC